ensembl:lncRNA
UUGGAUUAUUCUUUCUCCUUUUUUUUUGACAGCUUCCUGUCAAGCAAUCAAGAAACAAACAAAAGCUGAACACAUUUCUUUUUUAAAAAAGGAGACUGUGUUUGGUCCUGUAGGAGUUCUAUUUUGGGGUCAAAUGCUCGAAAAAUUGUUAAGGUGGAUUGAGGCCAGGCAGCUGUCACUGCUGCUUCAUGUUUGCCUUCUGCACAUAAACUCUUUUAUCUCCUGAAAAAAGCAGUUCUUAAUUCAGUGUCCAUGGACUCAGAAACUCCAUGAUGCCCCUGAGAUGGUAUGCACAAUUCCAUGACAAUAUGCCCUUUCUGAGGAGAUAGUCCAUAAUGUUCUGCUAAUUUCAAAUGGGCUCGUGACCCAAAAAAGUUAAGAACCACAGCACUUGAGUAAAAUACUCUUUUUUACAAUCCAUAUAAGCCCUUGAUUGGAAGGGCUUUUCAAAAUCAUUUAGUCUAACUGCCCAGUUUCCAGUCGGGGGAACUGAGGCAGAGCAAGGUAGUGAUCACACCAGGACAAGAUCUCAGGUCCCAGGCUCCUAUGCAAGUUUUUUUUCCCCAUUAUAUCACACUUAUCUAGCAAGGGACCUUGUGGUUUGUGGCUUUAGUGGCCAUCAUUUCCGGGGGUUGGCUUUUACCGUUUUUCUUGAAUAUUUGCCACCAAGUGAAAAAGGUUGAGAUAUAAACCCUUGCCAGGUCCCUUUCAUUUGCUAUCUCUAUUAUUGGAAAGGACCUAAAAAUUGGUGUAAUGGGGCAGAAAUCUAAGGAAUGGACAUUUCUAAUUCCUGUUUGUUGAAGGGAAGUUGCUGGAAAGAACAUCAAUACUUGUUUCUAUGCAGAUGCCUGGGCCGUAGCUUGUCUGUAGAGUCUGUAUAAUUAUAAUGUUGCCCAGUGUGAGGGAAAGAGCUUUCCUACUUGCACUCUUCUACCAAGGCCUAGUUAGUGCACGGAUUAUAGUAUAGAUAAAGAGAGAGUGAGUGCAUGCACACUCAUGUGCAAACCCACUCAGAGAUGCAUUUGGAACAGUGCUACUGAAAGGCAGUAGUCAUUUUCAAGACUGAAUUCCAAACAUGGUUUAUUGGUGAGUUAGGAACAUGUAAGGCCAAGUACACUGAGAGCCUUUUUGAAAGUAAUUGAGUGGAAACUUGAUGCCAUUCUAAAUCAAGGCAUAUCCAGGUGGCCCCACUGAACUCACUCCACUGUACCCAGUCUCAAAGGCCAGGUUGCUAAGAAACCAGGAGUAAAAGAGUCAAGUGACCCUCAUUUCGCCUGCUGCUUGCCCCCAACAGUAGUCUCUGUGAGGCCUUACUGACCUCACCUAGGAAGUGAUUUUUGAGCCCUUGUUUCAGGGCUGUGGCGUCCCUGCUCUAUCCUGAAUAAAGCAGACAGGUGUGCAGAUUUUGGCCACGAAAGCAUGGCUAAUAGGGCCACAGUCCCUUUAAAGAGACAUGGUUUGACUCAGGUUUUCUUGGGGGAAAAUACCACAAUCAUCAAUGCAAACAUUGGAAGAUUAUUGAGAGCCCUAGAAAGUUGCUGUGAUCCCAGUAGAAAAUAUGUCCCAGAAAUGUCAUGAGAUUGCUGUGUGUUACCUGGGACACAGAUCAAGGGCCUAUCUAGGAGAGCUGGGGACCAGCAGUCUGCCUGGAGGCCAGGGAGCAGUGGCUGAGUAGCUCUGCCCUUGCUCUGGUCUAUACCUUAAGAAUGCCAAAGAAUGAAUCUCAACGCCUGCCUUUGGCACUCUGACUUAAAGUGCAAAAAGCUUCUGUGGCGAGGCAUGCUAUCAUGUAAUAAGACCAGCUUGGCCUAGGCUUAAUGGAUGGGUAGUCAUUUUGCAGAGGCUAUGGGAAGAGGGUGAUAAUAGAAGAGUGGCAGGUAUAGGAAAUUAUCAACAUACCUUGGCCAGCAAGUUAGAGAAUCUGGCAAUGGAUGAACUGAAAGUGAUGAACUGGCAGGGAUAACAAAGAACCUAACAUUUAUUAAGCACGUAUUUAUUAAGUGCUCAGUGUUUCAUAUACAUGCAAGUAUUCUUCUCAUUUUACAGAGAAAGAAACUAUGGCCCAGGGGGCUAAAGUAACCAACUCAAGGGCACAUAGAAAGUAAAUAAAAGAACUGUGAUUUGAAUCCAGGCCACUCUUAGCCCAUGCUGUUUUCCCUUUGCCACACUGUGGUAGGUGUUUGAACAGAGGCCACAUUACUAGAGUUGGCAUGACUCUUGACUCUUGCCUGCCUAACAAAAUGUUGAAAGGCAAACAUUUGAAGGAGGGAGGGGAUGCAGGUUCAGUUUAUAUGGAAAUGCAAACUGGGCUGGAAGAUAUUCCUGAGUUAGGCUUUCUCUUCAUAUUCAGCUUACACAUUUGGUAAUGUUUUUAAGAUGAUCAUCUAAUUUUAUUUUGUGAAGUGAAGGAUUUGUGUUUUAGUUGGUAAUUGUUAAGUCCUUGGCUUGCCAUUUUUCAAAAAGUAAAAAGGUCCUCACAGGUGUCUCCAUACUUCGCCAAGGUUGUAGCAUGGGCAGUUUCAGUUUCAGCCUAAGAGACUGGUGACAUCCACAAAUGCAGUUUUAGAAGCAGAAAAGGUCUUGGUGCCUCUGCAAUACUUGAUGUAUUGGGGUCAAAUCUCUACAAAUUUUUCUGUGGUGAUAGCAAAAUCACGAGAUGGCUUACAAAAAGAAAUAUUGAAUUUUUAUUUUUGAAGUUUUUAUUUUUGAAAAGGUUGGGGGUGUUCAGCCACUGAGGGACAAAACUUAGCAUCUAAUUUCAAUUAUAGUGUCAUGCAGAGUAUUUCUAAAGUAAUUGGUUUUCAUGGGAAAGUAUUCUCUUUUCAAGAAGUUCUUUGAUUCUGUAAUAACUAGAACAAAUAAAGUAGUAAAAGAAGAAAUAGUUCUGUGACUAGGAAAAAAUUGCUUUUGAGAGAACGUAGAUCAAUUAUACUACUUUUAAGGUAGCUGCAGAUAAGUGGCCUUGACACAUUACAAGCCCAGAAAAAAACAUCAGAAAUAAUAAAAAAUUUCGGAGAGAAUCAAGAUACCUUAAAGAUAAGUUUUUGAUAAAGAAAAGCCUUCAUUUUCCUGGGGCAAAUGAAGCACUUGAUGCCAAGGACAUUAGUAGAGGGUUAGAAAGAUUGCCUGUGUGAAAGACAUAUGCUGUAUCAAAAUAAUAAAACCAAUGAGAUCCUAGGGCUCAUUCAUGUGACUUUCAAUAAAGUAU